rnacentral:rRNA from 1 species
AUGGAAGGGGCGGAAGAUCUGGAGGAACAGGAGGAGGAUGUGACGACUGAUGGGUUGGGAGAAGAAGAUCUCCGAUAUGCAGUAGAGGAAGAUGAGUACGAUCUGUUCGGGCCAGAGGCGGAAUUAGAUGACAAGUUUGCAGGGCUGAAACUUCAUGGGGAGGAGGAGGAGGAUCUUGAUUUCUCUGAGGAGGUUGACGAACAGAUCAGCGAUGUGCGUUGGCUGGCUUUGUUUAGGGUUCACACGACCCGCCCGUUCAGCCAUGCCGCUUUGCUCAAACAGAUGAGGAACGCGUGGGCGGCAGCGCAAGGCGUUACUUUCAACAUAAAGGGGCCAAAUCUCUUUCUGGUCCAAUGUCAUUGUUUGGGGGACUGGAGGAAGAUCAUGGAUGGAGGACCGUGGCUCUUUCGUAGAGCGUCGGUGGUGAUACAGGAAUACGAUGGUUUUUCGGAUGUCAAUGAGUAUAGGCUAAACAAGAUACCAGUUUGGGCAAGAAUCAAAGGGUUACCAGAUGGACUGACAAGGAAGAAGGAGUUGGCAGAAAGAGUAGCAGCCAAGGUUGGAGAGCCACCUUUUACAGGUAUCGUCAAUGAAGGUCGAAUCAAUCCAGCGAGUACACUUCGGGCUCGGGUGUUUCUUGAUGUGACUAAACCCCUGGUGAGGUUUGUACCAAUCACUUUGAAGGAAAGCAGGAGAUAUGGUGUCUACUAUGAGAAGCUUCCUGAUUUUUGCUUUGUAUGUGGAUUGAUGGGUCAUAUAGCUGAGUGUGGUGAUGGUGUUCAUGAUCCAAGAUAG